rnacentral:sRNA from 1 species
AGACUGACUAUUUGGAUGGAAGUUUUAGCACAAGCACAAAUGCCAUUCACAUUCGUAUGUAUGCAACAAGGAAAGCUAAUUUACAGGCAUCCCAUUGAAUUGUGGGAAAUCCUAGGAAAUUUUUAAGAAGCAAGGAAUUAUAAGUUACCGCCAGGGAGGCCCUGUCAUCGCGGUGCAAGUGGAGAAUGAAUAUGGCUCAUUCAAUAAGGAUAAAACAUACAUGCCGUAUCUCCACAAGGUAAGAGGGCCUUGGUUUGGCCCCAUGUUUACAUGCCUCCUUCCUCCUCUGUGCUUUUCUGAUUCCUGGGUGCAUGAGUGAUAGGGCUGGACACUGUGCAUUCUGAGAAUA